UACGUAGGGUCCGAGCGUUGUCCGGAAUUACUGGGCGUAAAGAGCUCGUAGGUGGUUUGUCGCGUUGUUCGUGAAAACUCACAGCUCAACUGUGGGCGUGCGGGCGAUACGGGCAGACUAGAGUACUGCAGGGGAGACUGGAAUUCCUGGUGUAGCGGUGGAAUGCGCAGAUAUCAGGAGGAACACCGGUGGCGAAGGCGGGGUCUCUGGGCAGUAACUGACGCUGAGGAGCGAAAAGCGUGGGGGAGCGAACAGG
rnacentral:rRNA from 1 species